GUGAUAAAUUAAAAUAAAAUGUCAAAAAGUUUGUUAUACAAUUUUAAAAACAUUUAAAACAAAUAAAAAAACACUUUUGUUUAAAAAAAGUCAAGUUCUACAUCAAAGAACCUCAUCAAAUUCAAACUAAUUAAUAAAAUAAUGGUUAUUGACAAAUUAACAUGCUUACUUGUAUAGAUUAUUUAAGAAUCAUAACAAUUGGGUUAUAACAAAUAGCAAACAUAGGCACCUCUAAAUUUCAAGUUUGGCAUCAUAAAAAUAUUAAUGAAUAAUCUCCCCUGCUAGCAUUAUUUGUCAAUUUUAAAAACUUCAAAAAGCAAAAAAAACAAAAAACAUAACAUUAUUUACAUGAUUAACAUAAUUCGUAAAUUCACAAGAGUGCACACACUGAAAUGUCUCGCCUUCUUUACUUAUCAUUGAUAUUAUGUUGAUAGUCCUAAGUAUAAAGCUUUAUUAAAAACUGUCACAUAAACUUAACAUUAACCAAGAUAACUAAACAAAGAGCAAUGAACCAUGAAAAAUGAGGUCAAGGUCAGAUGAACCAUGCCAGGCAGACAUGUACAGCUAACAAUGCUUCCAUACAACAAAUAUAGUUGACCUAUUACUUAUAGUUUUAAAAAAUAGACCAAAACACAAGAACUUAACACUGAGCAAUGAACCGUGAAAAUGAGGUCGAGGUCAAAUAAAACCUGCGCGACUGACAUAUAGAUCAUAAAAUAUUUCCAUACACCAAAUAUAGUUGACCUAUGGCAUAUAGUAUUAGAUAAAAAGACCAAAACUUAAAAACUUAACUUUGACCACUCAACCAUGAAAAUGAGGUGAAGGUCAGAUGACAUCUGCUCGCUAGACAUGUACACCUUACAAUCAUUCCAUACAACAAAUAUAGUAGAUCUAUUGCAUAAAGUAUGAGAAAAACAGACCAAAACACAAAAACUUAACUAUAACCACUGAACCAUGAAAAUGAGGUCAAGGUCAGAUGACACCUGCCAGUUGGACAUGUACACCUUACAGUCCUUCCAUACACCAAAUAUACUAGCCCUAUUGCUUAUAGUAUCUGAGAUAUGGACUUGACCACCAAAACUUAACCUUGUUCACUGAUCCAUGAAAUGAGGUCAGGUCAAGUGAAAACCGUCUGACGGGCAUGAGGACCUUGCAAGGUACGCACAUACCAAAUAUAAUUAUUCUAUUACUUAUAAUAAGAGAGAAUUCAACAUUACAAAAACUCUGAUCUUUUUUUUCAAGUGGUCACUGAACCAUGAAAAUGAGGUCAAGGACAUUUGACAUGUGACUGACGGAAACUUCGUAACAUGAGGCAUCUAUAUACAAAGUAUGAAGCAUCCAGGUCUUCCACCUUCUAAAAUAUUAAGCUUUUAAAAAGUUAGCUAACGCCGCCGCCCGAUCACUAUCCCUAUGUCGAGCUUUCUGCAACAAAAGUUGCAGGCUCGACAAAAAAAACAUCCUGCUGCUCGAACAUUGAUUAAAAUUUCAUUCCAAAUGCUGUAUGCAAGAAUAAAAAUAAUAAGGUGUAAUGAAAUACUUCAAAUAUGUACAAUUGAAUAAAAUAGCACACAAAUAAACUUUUAUCAACAAAAUUAUGUAAUGUCAAGCAAAAAAUUAUCAAUAUUGAAUAUGUACUUGGACAAUUGAAGAAAAUAAUAAGUUUAUAUGCUUAUAAAUAUAUUUGGUGUAUUGACUGUCUCCUGAUUAGUUAAAAUUUUUUAGUUUUAUUUUCAAUUUUUUUUGUUUACAAAUUUUAUGAAGUCAACAUGUGCAUGAUGUGUGUACUUUGUUAUUAUUUAUAUAAAUAAAAUAAAAAAAUUCUUUGAGCCUUAUUUUUGAUAGAAAUUUAUUUAUAAUGAAUGGCAAUAACUUAUUUUGA
rnacentral:lncRNA from 1 species